rnacentral:piRNA from 1 species
AGCUGGUAGCAUGAAUGCUGUGUAGGAUGU